GCGGGUGUAGCUCAAUGGUAGAGCAGCAGCUUCCCAAGCUGAAUACGAGGGUUCGAUUUCCUUCAUCGGCUCCA
rnacentral:tRNA from 1 species